GAUGUCAACAUUCCUGUGACAGCUUGGAGCGGUCGCAAUGCAGAGAUGUUACAAGUCAUUUAACUGGAAAUGAAUAACACUCGAUGAUUCAGUUUUAUUUUUAAAAGUAACUGCAACUCCCUCGUUUGAAUUUCACCGGUGCUACAUAUACUGACUGUCAUUUGGACUAACCAAGGAAGAAUCUGUGACCAUACACAUGGAGAGGCAGACGGCAACCAGUUGGUGUUGCUGAAGAACCUCGAAGUGGAACAAGCAAAACGUGAUGAUAAGAGCCCGAGUGCGAGUCCACAAUGGAGAGUGCACAUGACGGGCCUGCCUGAGUAAAAAUAAAACAAGUCAUGACCCUUCACUUCCUGUGCUGUGCGCUCACUUCAUUUGGGAACAACAACAACCACCCCAGGAGAUUUCUAGGUUGUUGUUGGGUUUUUUUUUUUGUGUUUUAUUUAUAAAUUCCCUCCCAAGAAUGUGGGAAACCAAAAAACAUCCCAAUUCAUGUUCCACUGGGAAUUAAAAAGUUGCUUGAGCCACGGAUCUGCUUGGUGUGAAGGUUUAGUUUGUGACUAAACUUGGAUGCCGCGGGAAGUUGAUGAGCAUGAGGAUGGCAUGCAGUUGGUUAAAGAGGUGUCGUUUUGUGGUAGGCAAGAGCGUGGGCGGUACAGAAUCGGGAUGAGGGAGAUAAAGGGGGUCAAAAUGCUAAAAGAAGUAUGCAAAGAAAUAGUUUGGAUGGGAAUGGAGUGGUAGUGAGAAGGAAGAUGGGUAGGGAGGAAGUUAAGGUAGUACUUACAUUUAAGAAGGAAGACAAAGGCAUAAAAUGUAGCCCUGUGGCAUUGAGUAAGGAAAUACAAAAUGAAAAUAGGAGAAGUGGAUACAGUGAAUUUACUAAAGAAUGGAAAUUUGUUGUAACGAUUUUUAUAAAGUGUUGACUUUGGUGUAUAUUGGGAGAAAAAUGAUAAGUGAAAAGAAGGUACUGGGGGAGAGAGGUACAAGGAGAGAUUACGGGAUUAGGGUGAAAUAAAUGGUACGGGAAAUUCAAGAAAUAUGGCAUAGAAUACAAAUGAUGGGCUUGAUAGUUGUUUUGCUUUGUGUCCCACCUCUUGUUGGUAUCGAGGGAAUUGGGGAAACCAGAAGAUGGAGAGAAUAGUGAAGUAGGCAACAGUGUAGUCUAACAAAACGUAAGUAUUGGGGUAAGUACAAUGGAUAGUUAAACCGAUAUUGAUGAAGAGAUGUCAAACGCAGUGGAGUACUGAAAUUAAAGGAAGAUGGAUUCACAGAAUUAAGAGCAGUGUGGGAAGAAAUAGGUGGAAGGAAGGUGAGAAAAUGCAAGUCGUAACAUACGGCAUACUCCUUACCAAUAGGUGGCGGUAAUGCGCCUGAACGUUUCUUUCCAACUGCCAUAAAAUUCUUAAGAAGAGGAAGAAGAAAAGGAGUUUUGGUUGCUACCAUUUCGGUUAGCAACAGAUGCUGACCCAGAGCGCUGCGUAGAAUAUUGGCUCGCUGUUUUAGACUUUGUCAGGAAUGAAUUACUUUGUAAGUCGCUGACGCGAUAUUCGUCGUCGUGGGUUCCUGAGCCCAUUAACGACCACCCCGGAACUCCACAAAGGUUGGUUGGGACACCACCUUCUGAGUCGCGAGAGACGCCUUGAUUGUUCUACACUUUUCCACGUCGGCGGCCGCUAAAAUAAGGUGGCGGAAGGUGAACCAGAGUUGCCACAAACAUCCGCCUACUUGAGAGUCCUCAGCAGAAAGUGGAAAACACCAAGAUGGACGAGGUCAAGGAAGGUGGUCCACCUGGAGAAGUUAGGGUCACAAUGGUAUCACAUGUAGAUGGUCAGACCGGCACGCGACAGUACAAAAACAUUCAAUUAAGUAUAAUGGUGAUUGCGUGCCUUAUGUUGGCUAUUUCAGUAAUACAAACAGCGACAAAAGUGGACAGACACACAAGAGGAGUUGCUAGACACACUUCUGAAUGUGGGUUACCCCACCAACUAACAAUACAUCAUGUUAAUGGGACAAACAAGGGGUACAUAUUUGAUUUGUGUGACGUGAUUGAGUGUGGAGGAUAUAACGGUUCUUAUCGGGAAAAGGAUGUUUACCUGUGUUUUGAUCAGACUCUACAGAACCUGUGUUCAACUCAUAAGAGUUACACUGGACCGUGGUGUCAGACGUGGGGACAAGUGACCCAUUACACUGGGUUAUGGGUCCCGAGCAAACAGGUAAACCGUGGUCUGCUAGCACAGAAAAAUCAGAAUGAGAUUAUGGAUCGGAUAAGUUUCGAGCGCAUUUACAGCCGGUCUCAAAACCCGGUGAUGUUAAGUAUAAUGGGAGAAGCUAUAGGGGGGUCCAAGUCAACAUUUGUCAUCGUGGGGGUGGACAUAGCAGGGAGGGAUCCCCUGGGAGUUGUUCAAAUUAUCGUAUAAACAAAUAUCCCCCACUUAUCCACAGGGAAACAGUAAUAAGGCCACCUUCAGCGAGAGAAGCUAUUGGUGUAUGCGAAAUAAUCCACCCUAUAGAAUUGUACCACCCUGGUGUUGGUGUUUUCUCCAGUGGACAAUUAAACAAAUCUAGCAUUGCAGCGAUUUGAAAAAUGACUGCACUUGUUUCAGCUUAAGCAGGGAUGUGGGAUCGUGGGACGCAUCCUGGUGUGCCUCCUUUUGGGAAUGCCUCACAGAUCGGGCCCUGUGCCGGAUCUGGUUUGUUUUAGUUAUUGCGGAGAGUGCUGUGUCUCGCAGCUCCUGUGUCCCUUGCUCGGUCAUUAAAAUAGUCGAAUGCAACAAACCACACCCAUCACAUGAAAUACUCGGCGACGCAGAAACAUUUUGGCAAAAAUAUCUUCCGGAAGUAUCGGCGGACGUAUAUUUGACCCCAUGGUGAAUUCACCCACAUACAUGGAUAGAUGCCAUUGGUCUACACAGGAGGGUUCCAAAUGAAUUCAAAUUGGUGGACCACGGUAGUGCAUGUUUUGAAAACAUGCCAAUCAUUUCAGCAUUGUAGACCGCAUCAAUCCCGUUCGUUCCAAAGUGCAAAGGUUGGCUGAUUUGACUACAAACGCCGUUGAGGGAACUAGGCCCGUCUUCCUUAAUGGCGAUCCAAAGGAAAAAGCUGCUAGAUAUGCUGCUGGCUAAGGAGAAUGGAGUCUGCUCCAUGUUUGGGGACUCGUGUUGUCCAUACAUUCCUAAGAACUCUGCCCCUGAUGCCUACAAGGCCUGACAUCCCUCUCGGUCGAAUUCAAAGAAGCCUCUGGCAUCAAUAACCCUAUUGAUGAUUGGUCUCCCAACAUGUUUGGAACAAAGAGGGUCCCCCAACCCAUCAUGCCUUUGUUAUUCACAAUAUACUUGCUUUAGUAUUCAGUUUUGCCUCUUGUAAUCCUAGUUAUUUCAGGUCAAAGUUUCAAAUGUAUGACUGCAAAUUUGUUUCUGAGAACAAAAGAGGGACUGUUUGUGGUGGGUGUGUAUGAGAAGUGAGAGAGAGGGCAGAUGCUGUGCCUGGAACAGACGACAGGGGGUGAAACCACAGGGCUGACUGAACACACACACACACACACCCUCUUUGGAGAAUUGUAUUAAAGCCUGGGUCAAAGGAAUGAUGUCUGCGUCACUCUGCUUCGCUACCUUCGCAGUUAUUAACAGCUGCUGACCCAGAGCUCUGCCUAGAAUAUUGUCUUGCUGUAUUCGAUUAUUUGUGAGGAAUAAACACUUUGCUGUGUUGUUGAUGCAAUA